CCCUUAGAUGUUCUGGGCUGCACGCGCGCUACACUGAUCGACGCAACGAGCGAUCACCUUGGCCGAUGGGUCUGGGUAAUCUUUUGAAAGUCGAUCGUGCUGGGGAUAGACUAUUGCAAUUAUUAGUCUUCAACGAGGAAUUCCUAGUAAGCGCAAGUCAUCAGCUUGCGUUGAUUACGUCCCUGCCCUUUGUACACACCGCCCGUCGCUCCUACCGAUUGAAUGAUCCGGUGAAGACCUCGGAUGGUGGCGCAGUCUAGCGGGGCAACUCGCUAGAAGCGCCGCCAGAAGUUGCCUGAACCUUAUCAUUUAGAGGAAGGAGAAGUCGUAACA
rnacentral:rRNA from 1 species